rnacentral:sRNA from 1 species
UAUAUUCUGGUGCGACUCAAGCGUAGUG